GUGGCACCAAGGCGUCCUGGGUGAGCAGGCGAGGAGAAAGCCAGCACCCCUGGGCACCGUGUGAGUGGAGGCCCCGGGCAGGAGGGCACCCAGCUCGCCCCCCCGCCCAAACUCACCCAGAACCUGAUUUGCUUCCAGCAGCGCUGUGCCCAGUCCUGGGGGCUGAUUUAAGAUUCCCCUGAGCCUUUCUUGGCCGGGCCUUUUGCCGGGGUUGUUUCCAUCUGGGCACGUUUCCCAGCUCUGGCCAGCAAACUUUGAGGGGUUGGGUGUUUCUGGACAAGGGAGAGGCCUUGUUGCCCCUUCUCUCCCUGACUGCUUCCUAUGUGGAAACAAUGCCAGGAGCUUCUGCAGCCAUCUUGUGGCCAUGAAGAGCAAGUUAAGAGAGGAACAGAGGCGGUCCCUCCCCAGGUCCCUGAACUCCCAAGGACGCCAGUUGCUUCCUGUCUCCUGGCCCCAAGACUCCUUGUAAUGAGAAAUAACAAUGCCUGCCCUGCUUAAGAUAUUCUGAUACUCGCAACCAAACACUCGAAGUUAUAACUGAGGCAAGCUGGAGUCUCUCCAUCAUAUGUGAGUCAGGAUUUUUAUUUGCAAGUAACAGGAGCCAAUGUAAGUAGCCCAAGCAUGUGCUAGAAAACUGCUAUUUCUCAGAAGCAGCAGGACGGUUGGAAAGCACACAGAGAAAACAGUAGGCAUCAGAGCUGCACCAGGUGGCGCAUGUCUGUGCUCCCAGGUACUCAGGAGGCUGAAGCAGGAGAAUGGAAAUUUCGAGGCCAGCCUGGGCAACUUAGUGCGAUGCUGUCUCAAAUGAAGACUAUAAAGGGCUGGGGUGUGGCUCAGUGGCAGAGCACUGGGAGAGGGCUUGUGAGCACCUGGACUCGGUCCCCAGCCCUGGAAGAGAAGGAAGAAGAGCAAAGAAAAGUCAGCUGUACUUCUCCGUCAGGGCACUUCCUGUGGGCAGGGUCUCUUGCUAAGUUGCCAGAACUGGGCAACUUAAUGGGCCCGAACUUGGUGAGCCUCCUGCCUCAGCCGCUGGAGAUUACAGGUGUGCACCUGGGAUUACAGGCCCCUCCUCUUCACGUGGUGACCUGUAGCAGUGCAGACUCCUAUCAAUCAGCCUUUAGAUCAGAUGGCCAAAGAAACAGGGUCUUCUCUUUCCCACGGUUCAAAGAAAAGUUCCAGAAUUGCGUCUCAUUGGGCGAGCAGCAUCAUGGUCACGAUGGAUGUAGCAUUGGGCUGUGCUGAUUGGCCAAGUCUUUAGGGCGGGGUCCUUCCAGUUUAGAGUGGGGGGAGGCGGCGUGGCCAGGCCGGCAUGGUCCGGGUCUCAGGUACUGAAAGUCCAGGGAGUUCCCGGAAGGACUGUUUUCUACAUCAGAAAGGUAGGAAAGGGGGUGGUGGUGCUUAUUAGGCAAUAAAAGUGCAUGGAAAUGCUUAAAGUCAUAUGAACAAAAAAAAAUCUAAAAUAGGGAAGUGGCAAAUGCCCAAGCAACUCUAAAUGAAAAUCUGUGUAUGCAUAUGUAUUUAAUAUGGACAUUUUUUUUCUUUUGGUGCCAGGGAUCGAACUUGGGUCCUUGUGCUUAGCAAAGCAGGCGGCGGAACCACUGAGCUAAAUCCCCAGCCCUAAUAUGGACAUUUUAUUAAGCUCAUAAAACCUGAGUAGAAGCAUGCUUCGAAAAAGUUGGUGUCCUCUGUAAUCUCCGUCAGCAUCCCCUCCACCAUCCCUCACUCUAGGAUAAAAUGAAUCAGGGACCACACCCCCUUCCCCGGCCAGCCCUUCCUGCCUCCCACUCUGCAACCCCGGAGUCCCGGAAUCUGGAUCUUCGUAUUGGUGGCCGGGGUCCCCCUGGUUGCAGGCACACAGUUAGAUGUUCCCUCCCCGCGAUCGGGGAGACCCCCCUCCCCCCGGGGCACUGGCGGCUGUGGGUGAGGUCCCCGUGGCGUCCCCACCGCAAGGCAGAAAUCCUGGGUCAAGACCGGGGGCUGGAGAAGCAAGUAGUGAGGAGGCUGAGCCUCUGUGCCUCCGUAAUUCCGCUCGGGGUUGAAGUAUGUGAGGGGUAAGGAAAAGGAAGGUGUGGGGGUGAUCCUGCGUCUAUGGAUGGGGCUGAGGCCGAGGGUCCCCUGAGGACCCUGGUAGUCCUCAUGUCGCCCACCAGUGGUCUUCUCGGCCAUUCGUGGGUGUUGCCCGCCCCUCCCCCACUGUGCACCCCGAAAGGGGCCACGUCUGCUUGCCACGCAGUAGGCGCUUCACACCCGUGGAGUGAACAAAUGGGGUUGAAUGAAUGAAAGCAUGCGUGAAUGACCAACAUCCCGAACUGGAGCCAGAGUUCUGGGUCGGCGCCCAGGCUCAGUCUCAGGUGUUUGCUGCCUGUUCGUGGGGUGUGGCUGCCCACCCUUGUGAAUUGGGAGGACGUGGGUCAGGCUGUCUCUUUUUUGGGGGCUCGGGCACCUCAAACCCUUCGCCAACUUUGGCAUCAGCCAGGCGGCCGCUGUCCAGCUGGCCAGGCGGUGGAUCAUUGCGCCUGCGCCGAAGUUCCCACUCU
rnacentral:lncRNA from 1 species